rnacentral:rRNA from 1 species
GUGCCAGCAGCCGCGGUAAGACGGAGGGUGCAAGCGUUGUUCGGAAUUACUGGGCGUAAAGGGCGCGUAGGCGGUCUGCUAAGUUCGGUGUGAAAUCCCCUGGCUCAACUGGGGAACUGCGCCGGAAACUGGCAGACUAGAGUACCGGAGAGGAGGGUGGAAUUCCUGGUGUAGCGGUGAAAUGCGUAGAUAUCAGGAGGAACACCGGUGGCGAAGGCGGCCCUCUGGACGGAUACUGACGCUGAGGCGCGAAAGCGUGGGGAUCAAACAGGAUUAGAAACCCUGGUAGUCC